rnacentral:rRNA from 1 species
GAUGAACGCUGGCGGCGUGCCUAAUACAUGCAAGUCGAGCGAACGGACGAGAAGCUUGCUUCUCUGAUGUUAGCGGCGGACGGGUGAGUAACACGUGUAUAACCUACCUAUAAGACUGGGAUAACUUCGGGAAACCGGAGCUAAUACCGGAUGAUAUUUUGAACCGCAUGGUUCAAAAGUGAAAGACGGUCUUGCUGUCACUUAUAGCUGGAUCCGCGCUGCAUUAGCUAGUUGGUAAGGUAACGGCUUACCAAGGCAACGAUGCAUAGCCGACCUGAGAGGGUGAUCGGCCACACUGGAACUGAGACACGGUCCAGACGCCUACGGGAGGCAGCAGUAGGGAAUCUGCCGCAAUGGGCGAAAACCUGACGGAGCAACGCCGCGUGAGUGAUGAAGGUCUUCGGAUCGUAAAACUCUGUUAUUAGGGAAGAAAAUAUGUGUAAGUAACUGUGCACGUCUUGACGGUAACUAAUCAGAAAGCCACGGCUAACUACGUG